GUGCAGUUAGCUCAGCUGGUUAGAGCGUGUAUGUUUGAUCGAACCUCGCACCGAUGCGUUUGAUACUAAUGAGCCUCUAGGGUGCUAAUAACGCCAAGGUCGCGAGUUCGAUCCUCGUAGUGACCA